UUGUGGGAACCUUCCACGGUUUCUGCGACGCAGCUAACGCAUUAAGUGCCCCGCCUGGGGAGUACGAUCGCAAGAUUAAAACUCAAAGGAAUUGACGGGGCCCCGCACAAGCAGCGGAGCAUGCGGCUUAAUUCGACGCAACGCGAAGAACCUUACCAAGGCUUGACAUAUAGGGAAAAGUGGCAGAGAUGUCAUGUCCGCAAGGGCUCUAUACAGGUGGUGCAUGGUUGUCGUCAGCUCGUGUCGUGAGAUGUUGGGUUAAGUCCCGCAACGAGCGCAACCCUCGUUUUUAGUUGCCUUUUAUGGAACUCUAAAAAGACUGCUGGUUAUAAACCGGAGGAAGGUGGGGAUGACGUCAAGUCAGCAUGCCCCUUACACCCUGGGCUACACACGUGCUACAUUGGGCGAGACAAUGAGAUGCAAAUCUGCAAAGACUAGCUAAUCUAUAAACUCGUUCUAAGUUCGGAUUGUAGGCUGCAACUCGCCUACAUGAAGGUGGAAUCGCUAGU
rnacentral:rRNA from 1 species